AGAAGUUUGGUCCUGCACGCUGAAGAAGGAAAAAGAGGCAUAUAGGGCUCUCUGUCCUCCUGCCUAUUAAAAAAAAGAAUAGAUUAGAAAGGAGGAAGAGAAACAGAGUCAAAUAAGUAGAGAGAGAGAGUGAGUUGCAAAGAUAGAGAAAGCAGUUUGGGGAGAAAGAGAGAGAGAGAACAGGAAGGAACAUACUAGAUUGGUGGUGAGGCAGGUUUGGUGCAUACGGCAUGUGGCGUGCGGUACGACAAAGUGGCCCAUAACUAGAAGGCCGAAAAGAGAGAACAUGGGUUGCUGCAUGUAGAGAAGAAGGAGAACCACAGUGUGGCUAGGUGCGGUUCCAUGCAUCCAUACCUUUCUUCAGCGCGAUUUUGUAAUAUCUGAGCCAGAUCUGCAUGUGUGGCUCAUUCUGUGAUGAUUAUUGGCUAAAGCAUGGUGACACGAGGGUGGUUUUUGUGACGUGUGCUGG
rnacentral:lncRNA from 1 species